UACGUAGGGUGCAAGCGUUAAUCGGAAUUACUGGGCGUAAAGCGUGCGCAGGCGGUUAUGUAAGACAGAUGUGAAAUGCCCGGGCUUAACCUGGGAACUGCAUUUGUGACUGCAUGGCUAGAGUUUGGCAGAGGGGGGUAGAAUUCCACGUGUAGCAGUGAAAUGCGUAGAUAUGACACAGAACACCGAUUGCGUAGGCAGCUCACUAAACUGUAACUGACGCUGAGGCACGAAAGCGUGGGGAGCAAACAGG
rnacentral:rRNA from 1 species